GACGUAGGGGGCGAGCGUUGUCCGGAUUUAUUGGGCGUAAAGAGCUCGUAGGCGGCUCAGUAAGUCGGGUGUGAAACCUCCAGGCUCAACCUGGAGACGCCACCUGAUACUGCUGUGGCUAGAGUCCGGUAGGGGAACACGGAAUACCCGGUGUAGCGGUGAAAUGCUUAGAUAUCGGGUGGAACACCAGUGGCGAAGGCGGUGUUCUGGGCCGGAACUGACGCUGAGGAGCGAAAGCGUGGGUAGCAAACAGG
rnacentral:rRNA from 1 species